rnacentral:rRNA from 1 species
CCGUAGGGGACCUGCGGAAGGAUCAUUA